rnacentral:rRNA from 1 species
UACGUAGGGGGCAAGCGUUGUCCGGAUUUAUUGGGCGUAAAGAGCGUGUAGGCGGCCAGACAGGUCCGUUGUGAAAACUCGAGGCUCAACCUCGAGACGCCGAUGGAAACCAUCUGGCUAGAGUCCGGAAGAGGAGAGUGGAAUUCCUGGUGUAGCGGUGAAAUGCGCAGAUAUCGGGAGGAACACCUAUGGCGAAGGCAGCUCGCUGGGACGUUACUGACGCUGAGACGCGAAAGCGUGGGGAGCAAACAGG